UAAACUUGAUUUUGACUUCGACUAACGUGGU
rnacentral:piRNA from 1 species